UACGUAGGGAGCAAGCGUUGUCCGGAUUUAUUGGGCGUAAAGAGCGCGCAGGCGGUCGUUCAAGUCGAGUGUGAAAGCCCCCGGCUCAACUGGGGAGGGUCAUUCGAUACUGAUCGACUGGAAGGCAGGAGAGGGAAGCGGAAUUCCCGGUGUAGUGGUGAAAUGCGUAGAUAUCGGGAGGAACACCAGUGGCGAAGGCGGCUUCCUGGCCUGUUCUUGACGCUGAGGCGCGAAAGCUAGGGGAGCAAACGGG
rnacentral:rRNA from 1 species